rnacentral:lncRNA from 1 species
UUUAAAGGCACAAUCCAAAGGGAAAGCGCCGAUGAUGAGUUAGGAAAGUUUAGGCACCCUUUUCUCUGCACUCCCUGAAGCUGUCUGGGGGCUGAUACUGACCAUGCUUCAUUGGCACAGGACAAUGUAAUACGGGGGACCGGGCUAGCCUACUUUUAACCGUUCCCCAUCAGAGACUUUUUUUUUUUUUCAGGGGAGGAUGAUGUCAGAAAAAGGUAGGAAAGGAACAAAUCUCUAAAGAGAUGUGCAGAUAUCCAUGGAAAGGGAGCUUGAGCGCUCAAGAAUCUUGUCUUUAUGUUUGCCCCCUCAAUUGAGUUACACAAAAGCUGAAUUACCCAUUCAAACUACCCGGACAAAAGGAUGGAGUUGGAUAGUACUCUUGCAUCUGUAGUCAAACAGUUAGAGACUUAAAUCGAGUCGUCAUGAUGGAGAAAGAGUUAGACAAAGCCCAUAGAAUUGCCAUCAGCAAACAUUUUCCUGUGUCAUAUUAGUGGGUCUCCAUGACUCCCCCUGGCCUGGGGACAAUAGCACAAGUUUGCACACUCGACUACUGUCACCCUGCCAACGCUGGCAAGGAGCAGAAACAGGACAAUCCUUUAAGGGGAAAGCAUGCCCGCUGCAGGGAAGGUCUAGGGAGACCCAGGAACCAGGACAGAAGGAGCUGCUACAGAGCCAUUUGCACCAUGGCGGGCUGUAAUGUGCUGGCUGGAUAGAAAACCUUGAGGGCACCUUUGUGCUGUCUGAGGCAGGUGAGGCUGGCAGGGCGAGGGGCUGCUGAGGGCACUGGGGCUUCUCUCCUUCUGUCCUCCCAAUUUCUAUUGCAGAAGCAGCUCAUCCCCGGGAGACCUGGUGCAGCUAACCCUGCCUGCACCCUUCAUCACCUUCCUCACGCCAUCAGGAUGCAAAUCUCUGCACAGUCUUCUCCAGUAAGACCUUGGGGAGGGAGGGGAACAGGGGCAGGGACAGGACACAAGAGUUUCCAGUCACCUGCUCGAGCAUCUAUUUUGGGAUGCACUAGCUGGGGUUUGCCCUCUCUGUGACCCAACACAGAUCUUUCUCCUGCAGCUGAGGUUACAGAGAGAGGUUUUGUGGAGUUCAUUUAACGAGACGCACAUGAAGGGAUCACACCUCUGUUUUCAGGAACAAACUGCCUCCUGUGCUCGAGCGUUUGCCCCCAACCUGACCAUCAUGUUGCAUCCACCUCCUGAUGGAGCUAGUUGGUAGCCCAAGGGAAUGUGAGAGAGAGACAGAGAGGUGUGGGACAGAUGCCAGGGAGCAAAGGAUUGACUCAGG